AAGUCGUAACAAGGUUUCCGUAGGUGAACCUGCGGAAGGAUCAUUAACGAAUGAAGUUGGGUGAGGUUGUCGCUGGCCUUCGGGCAUGUGCACGCCUUGCUCAUUCCAACCUUCUAUACCUCUGUGCACUUCUCAUGGGUUCAGAUUUGAUGUGUUGCCUCCGGGCUUCAUUGAUGUCUGGCCUGUGUGCUUUUACACAUACACAUGUUUGUCAUAGAAUGUCUACUGUGCGUGAAUGCAUAUAAUACAACUUUCAGCAACGGAUCUCUUGGCUCUC
rnacentral:misc_RNA from 1 species